rnacentral:lncRNA from 1 species
AGAGAGAGAGAGAGAGAGAUCAAAUAGACUUGAAGGACAUGAGCUGGCGUUUUUUGGUGGAGUUUGGCAACGGAUCAAACACAACUGCUUGGUAAGACGAUGUUGGAUCUUUGGUUGCGAGGUUGAGCUUGUAGUUGGUGCCGGCGACCACCUGUUCCAUGCCACUGACCACCUCGGCGAACUGCAAGCUCUCGCCGGUCUGCCUGUUGUGCUCCUUGACAGCCCAUUCGCCGACACCCUGGACAUAUGGGUCCUUGACGUUCUCUAUUUUGACAUACUAUCCGCUCAGCGUGGUGACACCUGCAGCUCUAGCAGACCUGCAGAUGACCACUACACCAAAAUCAUACACUUCCUACGGUUUUUUAACUUCCUACAAUUUUUAUAAUAAACCGUAGGAAAUAAAUAACUUCCGAGAGACAACUGGUAGCUCUAGGAAAUAAACAUAACUUCACAUGCUGACCCGUGCGUUCUGUCAAGCGAGCCGUUAACUUCCUAGAGGCAGCCGUAGGAAGUUAGCAUGGUCAGCUAACUUCCUAUGGCCUCCUCUAGGAAGUUAGCUUUUAGUUGCUGAUCUGCGGUUGUGGUCAAACAAAAAGCUAACUUUCUACUGCUGACACUAGGAAGUUAGCAUGGGUAGCUAACUUCCUACGGCCUCCUCUCGAAAGUUAGAUUUCAGCUUUUGACCAGUCAAACGAAAAGCUAACUUCCUAUAGCUGGCUUUAGGAAGUUAGCAUGGGCAGCUAACUUCCUACGGCUGGCUUUAGAAAGUUAGCGUGGGCAGCUAACUUCCUACGACCUCCUCUAGGAAGUUACUUAACUUCCUAGAGUACAUGCACAAACUCUAGUAAGUUUUGUAACUUCCCCUCUAGGAAGUUACUUAACUUCCUAGAGUACAUGCACAAACUCUAGGAAGUUUUGUAACUUCCUACGGCUUUACUCUAGCAAGUUAUAUUUUUUAUAUUAAACAUCUACUUAACCUUAUCCUCUUCUCUCCCCUUUCUCACUCCCGUGUCUCUUCCACCAAAUCGAAGCCGCCGCCGUCGCACGUUGCUCCCACCCGCCGCACACCUGCUCCCACCCGCCCCGGCCUCGCCCGCCAUGGCCGCCCCCGCCACCGGCCGCCCCCACCGCGGCCGCCCAAGCUCGCACCCGCUGCGGCUACCCCUAGCCCCGGCCCCGCCCGCCGCGGCCGCCCCCGCCCCUGGCCCCGCCAGGGGAUCCACGCCGAGGACGACUACCCGUACCUCAUGGAAGAAGGCUGUUGCAAAGAGAAACAAGUUCGCACACAAAAAUCUUCACAUGUGAACUGGAUGAUACUAGGAUGCAGGGUUCUAAUCCUUUGCUCUGGCGUGCGUGUUUAGCCCCAAGUUGAUGUCGUCACUAUAACUGGGUACGAGGAUGUCCUAGAGAACAGCGAGAUCAGCCUGCUGAAAGCGUUGGCCCAUCAGCCUGUCAGCAUCGGCAUAACUGCAGGGAGUAGGGACUUCCAGUUCUACAGAGGGGUAAGUAGAACUGACUUGUCUGUAGUAUGGUUGGUUUCAGAUGGUUUCAUCACUAGCUGUCACAGAAGGGAAGUAACAUGUGCGUGUAUACCGAUCGUCUGGCUGGCUGCACUGUAGGGGGUGUUUGACGGGGCCUGCAGCGUCGAGCUCCACCAUGAGCUGACGGCCGUCGGGUACGGCUCGUCGUAUGGCCAGAACUACAUCACCAUGAAGAACUCGUGGGGCAAGAACUGGGGGGAGCAAGGCUACGUCAGGAUAAAGAUGGGCACCGGGAAGCCAGAGGGUGUCUGCGGAAUCUAUACCAUGGCCUCCUAUCCCUUGAAAAAUGCAACACGCUGGGGUACCUAAUUUUUUUGUAAUGAGUUUGUUCGAAAGUAUUAUUUUUAAUAUAAUCCACAUGGCAAGAUGCCUUUUUACCAUUGCUGUCAAGAUCCCAUACUUGAUUUCCCAAAAUCCAUGUUACACUCACCACUCCAGCACGAUAGGAACAACUAUAUAUUGUGAUCUAUCUACACGACUGUCUUGGAAGGCGGUAUAUAAUUGCGCGGCCAAGUGGUAACCAAAGUAUGGUCAGUUAAUCGGAACAACGUGCUCGUCUUCCUUUAACCUCCGCUCCCAAUCUCACCGGCAGGUGUUAAUCAAGUAUUGCUAACGAAGGAUUCACUAUGUUUGGUAGUGAAGGGCGAUGUCCGGAGAGUAAGAACGAGGCGACACAGUAUGGACUCGAUAUGACCGAGCAACAAUAUCUUGAGGUAAUUGAUGUUUUUGCUUGUGUUGAAAAAAUCUCCAUUGCUUCUAGAUAUUACAGUUACUUAUAAAUGAAUUGUGUUCAUGCAGCAUUCGAUUCCAUGGAUAGCUGCCAAUGAUGCUGCUUGGCGUGCGUUUUGUCGUUACUGGGCUUCGGCUGAAUUCAAGGCAAAGUCUGUGCGACACAGUUCUAAUCAUGGAACCGAGUCAUAUCACAAGUAUGGAGGUGAUGAUCACUUUCGUUUGGCAAAACGAAUGGUAAGUACAAUUUAAUCCAUUUUUGUUGAUUGUAGUUGACUUCCUAUAAUUUUUUGUUAUAAUGUUUGUCAAAUGUACAUAUAGGAAGCUAGCACUGGUGCAGUGCCUAGUGAUGUUCAAAUAUACCUUAGGGGGCACAGAGGACCAGAUCCUGCAAAUCUAGAUGUGUUGUACAGCCAAAAGCAACAGAUUGUGUGGUGAGUGUUUUGAAAUGUUUGGUAGGUUCUGUUUAUAUAGAUUUUUGUAUGUAAGAUUGCAUUGUUCUUUUGUAUGAGGCUGCAUAUGGUGAGGCGAUGUCUAGUCAGCAUGGACCAAACUAUGAUUGGAGGACCUCACAUAUUGAUCCUCAGGUUGUGUAUGCAAGUGGUGGAAAAGCUCAUGGAAGGUGCAGACUCUACAUAUCUUAUAUUGUUUCAUUGGUUGAGUGCAAUACAUAUAUUCUUAAUCUGUCGUGAUGUUACUUGUUUUGUAGGUACACAAUGUUUGCUAACGUCAUCGACUCGAGCCAGGUGAGGGUUCAGCGUGGAGGUUCGUCGUGGUCUGCUGCUCGUAGCUCCCGUCUCUCCACUCAAGAUCCAGCAGAAGUGGAACAACUGCGAGAAGAACUUAGGCGACAUCAGGAUUUCUUGAAGCAACAAGCUGCGCAACAUGAAUAUUAUGCUACACAGAUUCAACAACAGCAAAACACUCAUACAAGUAAGUUUAAAAGAUAAUAGCUUUCACUUUAAGAUAUGUAUUGAUUUAAAACGCUGAUGUGAAUGAGUUCGACAAAUUUGUAGCAACUAGCACAGGCUCAAGGGAUACACGUCCUGGUGCCCCCCCACCACCACCUCAUGUUCAUUAUCCUUGGUCUUCACCUCCACCUACACCUACAUCUCCAUCUACCGAACAUCAGGUAUGCAAAUUCAUCAUCAUUUACUUUUUGUUACUUAUAUUAUGAUGUAACUUAGCAAAUAUCAUUUGUACAUGUAUAUUAGACCCCUCCAGCCAUCUUGCCGACGCAUGAACGAGAAGACGGGUUAGACUUUGUUAAAACCCUCUUCGCUAGUGGAGGUAUCGACCAUCACUCGUCACUGUAACCCGAUGGUGAUCGGCGACCGUGAGCUUCCAUGUUAUUGUGCUUUGAUACUUGAGACUUUUAUUAUGACUAUCUAUGAGAUAUUGUCUCUUAUUAGUACUGGAUGAUGAGAUGUGUCUUAUUAUGACUAUGGAUGAGACUUUUGUGAUGUAAUUAAUAAGACUAUGGAUUUAAAUAUUGUUAUGUGAUUGUGUGUGAGAUGUUUUAUGUGAAAAUAUGUUGUGCUAUAUAGUUGUUGAUAUAUUUGUUAUGUUGUGGACUGUGACGUAAAAUAAAAAUAAACAACAUUUGUAAUGCUGGUCAAAUUAACUUCCUAGAGGCUUAUUGGGCCGUAGGAAGUACGGUCAGCCGUAGGAAGUUAGUCGUAGGAAGUUAGUCAGCUGACGGCGCUGACGGCGUGAAGCUACUAACUUCCAAGAAUCUACUAACUUCCGAGAGGCUUCUUUGGCUGUAGGAAGUUAGCUAACUUCCUAGAGGGCUCUAGGAAGUUAAGCUAACUUCCGACAAAAAAUUUCCGAGAGCCAAACUUCCGACGGGGUAGCUUAACUUCCGAGAGUUUAGCUAACUUCCUAGAGUUUAGGCCUAACUUCCUAGGGCCGGCUACGGAUGAUCCAGUGACAGCAGCGGUGGCGGCCAACAACACCAUGGCUCGGCGACGCCCACCGGCGUCGUGACGAGCUCCGUCGGCCACGGAUGCUUGCUCUUCCUGCAGGUGCUCGUUAGAUUUGGCGGCCGUGGCCCUGACCACGACCAGGCUAAGGCGGCGGCGAGGAGCGGCUGUCGCCGUGAUGGGGACGCUCAUCAACGGGUUCGUGCUGAGGAAUGCCAUUCUUCUUGGCUUGAUGGAUGUCUAUGGAUUGUGGUUCUUGUGCUGCUGGCUUGCUGCCUUCGGAUGGAGGGGAAACUGUUGGUAUAAAUAUAGGCUACAGCAGAUGCUGAACCGUUUGUAUCGUGGAUUGUUUCCAUUAAUUUCCAACAUUUGUUUUGUACUAGAAUCUCUGUACAUGCAUGUACUGCCAGCUCAAACAACCAACAAAAUACGAGUACAACCAUGCUAUUUCGUCCAAUAUAUGCUCUACUACACAUUCUGCAUGUUUUUGUGGUUAUCUGUUGUGGCCCUUUCAUCACAAAAAAAGCUGAGUGACACCUUGUCGUUUCUAUACUCAAGAACACCGUAUCGAUCGGUUGUCUCGUUUUGUACACGUGAAACAUAACAUGAAUAGAACGUAUCCGUACUAACAUUUGGGCUGGAAUAUGGAAUGCACUUCUACAUGCAAAAACCAUUUCCAUCAAGGUUGCUCGAUACAAAUAAGUCGCACUACAGUAACUGGACAUUUUUUCUACGGCAAGCCAAUGAAAUAAACUUAUUACAAUGUGUUUGGUUUGAGGCAUCUUCUCACUCCUUGUUUUUUAAUUUGGUUUGUGGAAUCGAAUUAAUUGAUCCAUCACCAUUCCAUUCCUAAUAUAGGCUAAUCUCUACUAAUCUAUAUGCCUCUAUUGUGGGCGUCCACCACCUGUAUUGGUGAAGCAUGCCCACUGGACUCAAUCCCCCACCGCGAUCCACACCUCGUCGCACGGAAGGCGCCAUCCACUCGGCGCGAUCCACGGUCGAGCCCGCCCAUACCGCCCGAGACCUGCUCUACCCCGCAAUCCACUCCCCCACCGAGCUACUUUCCUCCUUCUCAGCGAGAUCCACGCUGCUCUUCAAAGGAAGGACGGGGACCUGCUCUAUCCCACGAUCCACUCCCCCAUCGAGAACAGCAACAACAACAACAUGAUUACCCGCAGUUUGGGAGCUCAGAGGCGUGUACACCCCAUUGUGCCCGCGCCCCCGUCUCCCCGCCCGCCCGAGACAUCCACAUCGUCCCACCCCCAUCGCCGGCACGAUGACCGGAGGUCCCCCCAGGCGAGGGCACACGCCCGCCCUGACGCCCCCCGCCUCCACCGCGUGUCCGCACCCCUGCCCACAGAGGUCACCGCUGCGCGCCAUCAACGGGCCUCCUUCCUCCCCCCAUGACUGCCGUCGUCACAACUGUCGUCUACCCCUCACGCCACAGCUCUUAAUCUUCCUCCCACUGCCCCUAUCGCCGGUCGCCGCUAUUCAUCUUGCUGGGGGCCACAACGCCAUCCUUGAUCGCGCACAGAGGCACACUCCAUCGAGGAGCGACAUGAGGAGAGAUGACGGGUGCGGAGAUGGCGUCGGUGUUGCUGCAAACAAUGUGGCUGAAGAGUGAGGUGGAUGCCACCAUCCGCGAUAACCCUCGACAAGGUCCUCGUUCUCUGAUUUGGUCAUGCCACCAACGUCGAUUGCCUCCACCAAGAUGACAUCGUGAGUGCCCUCUCUCCUAUCCCUCCUCUAUUCUUCAACCCCUCCAUGAGGGCUACUGUUGAGCUGAGCGAUCCUCAGGCCUUUUAUCCCCUCGCACGAACAUGCUCUCUCCCCCUUUAGUCAACGUACUCAUAGUCUGGUCUGCUCUGCAAUUUUGAAUUGAAUCAGUGGUGGUUAGUUUUGAGAUUGUCUGGUUGUUGCUGUUUGCGAGGAUGUGGUACUUGUAGCCUGUAUUAGUAUUUUUAAAGGAAAAUCAGCAAAACACCUAAACACAAGAACCUAGAUGACUAACACUAAGUAACUAUGGAGCUCACCACAUGUUAUUGUGCCCGCCAAACCUCUGAUUGCAUUGGAAAUAUAACUUAAAAAUAAAUUGUCUAUACUUGGUGUGAUGCCAUCUUCAUCUUUGGCAGAGGUACUGAAGCCACUGUCUAGAAAUAAAAUAAUUCCACUGUCUAGAAAUGUAUUUCUGUUUAUGAUGACCACCAACUGAUUUUACGAGUAAACUACUGGUCCAAUAGGUACUGAAGCAAUUGAAGGGCAAAGCAUUAAAGAGAGCGGUGCUGACUAAAUAAAAAUUGCAAGAGCAGAUUGCGCAGAGAAACAUUGCAAGGAAGAUUAUGAAGUUUGGGCAUCGUUCUGAUGGAUGAACCUUCUGGUACAAUGUGUAGACCAUGCGAACCGGAACGAUAUGAAGAAUCGUGAUUAUACGCUCACCCUCACAACAAAUGAUGGUAAAAUGAGAUUUUUGCCUGAGGGCAAUUGCACAUUUUGAAGACUAACAAAAUAGCCAUCUCUGGAUGUAGUGUUCUGCAGGGUAGGGGGUCCAAGUUGACUCACCAGAUGAAACUUGCAUUUCUAGUUGUGUAAGAAGCAAUGUCCAUGCAGGGUAGGGGUCUCUGUUAUUGUGCUUGCAUUUCUCGAGUUGUUUGUAAGAAUGAACGAUUAUGCACCCUCGCGUCCAGAUAGAAAUGCCAAAUUGAUUUACUGGUCCUACAUCAUAAUUCAUUCCUAAGAAUGCACCAUAGAGUAGAAUUCUUGAUUUCCCUUUUCUUUUUUAAGAGGAACGCAAGAUCAUUGAAUGAACGGAGGUCUAUUUGUUUUUUGAUGGUUCUAGGACGCUAAGCAAUUGGAGUUCCUCAAUGAAGUUCCUAAAAGAGUCAAGUAUUUUGCAUGUUCCUAAAAUUGCCAAGCCAUUCAAGAGGACUUCUACUGCUACACCGCACAUUAAUCGUUGAGUCGCAGGAGUGGGCGUAGAGUUCAGCAUGCGGGAUUUGGGCUGCAAAGCGAACAAAAAAGGCAUAAAAUCUCUGCAAAUCAUUGCUGAAACAGAAUGUAUAGAUCACCAGGCUCUUGGAACACCCGCCUUUUUUUGUUAGAUAGGAUGCUCGCUACGGUCAAGAUCAUUUUCAUGUUAAAUUACUUUAUUAUUUCUAAAUAAAUAUAAUAGUAUGAUUCAGCCAGUCAUUGAGGUUGCUGGUACGACUUUCUGUCUUUCAUCCAUAAAAACCAAGGCUUUGUGUUUUUUAUUGCAAAGAGGGGAGUAGUUAAUUUCUUCUCAUCAUGGUGACUUCACCCACCUGUGGAUAAGUCGAAUUCCUGCUAGCUCAGCACUGACCCCUUCCUCGUAUCAUGUGUUUACACACGCCUGACUCUCCUGUUGUUGAGCUAGACCAAACCCAUCUCUUGUAGGUCCUGUUGGUGCUGAGGAUCCUCUAAACAACAUGUCAUCGUCUCAGUUCGAGCCUGUGGUAAGAUAAGGAGCGCUGGUAGCCUGAUAGCUCUCCAUUCUCUGAAGCUAAAGCUUCCUUUUAGCUCAUUGUGUAUUUGCUCUGCUUUCAAGAGAAGGUUGUUGUCAACGUAUGAUCUGACAAGAGCUUUGUCUGGCCAAUUGUAGAGCUUGAUACCUUGAGACAACCUGGCAAGUGAGCUGCAACUAACACACAUGGAUGGACAUUUUAUUCAAGUGUAUCAUAAAGUUUAUUAUUGUGUAGAACUUUUUGCUUAUGGUGAUGUUUUACACUACUGCCACACUAAUAGUCAUGUCCUUGAUUCUUUAAAUACUUUGAUCAAAGCAUGUACAGGUCACUGCUACUAUCUUAGUUCUCAAAGGUAUAAUAUAAGUAUGAAUACCCUUGAGGAAGUUAUGUUUUGUAAAUGGUUGUCUUUGUAGGGUCAUGUUUUUACUAUAGUCGUGCUAUACUUGCCUCUGAAGGUGGAUAAAAAUUGUGAUCAUGUAUUGUGAAAUAUCAACUGUAUAGUAUUCAUCAUAUUUGUUUGAGAUUAAUGUCACGCUUAGUGUUCGUGCCAAUAGAUAGGUUCGUAGUUGAUGAUAAUAUGUAUUGUUUGUUUUCAUGUAAUCAUUAUAUACUAACUUUGUAUCGAAUAAUUUGUAUAUCGUCGCAGCGCACGGGCACGUACCUAGUAAUUAGUAAUAAUCUGAUAAAUGAGUCCAUUUCAGCAAAUUUAUGGAAUAGACCUAUGAUGCACCACCUCAUCUAUAAUGGAAUAAUUCUUCAAACCAAACAACCUUUUAGUUUGUUUUGUUGGCCUGCGAAACUGACAAAAUAAAGGUUCUUUUCGUUAGUUUGCCAAUUUGCUAAUGCAAUAUAGUGUUUUUCAUCAGCUAUUCAUGACCAAUAAAAAUAACAUUAUUGACGAGAUCUAAAUUUUUAAAAUUAACAUAGUUUCAUCACCACAGUAGGACAAUAAAAACAUGUUUUUUGGUAUAUCGGCCAAUCACUGCGAUGAGAACCGGCAGUGUUGCUCUCUACGGAAGCGCGGACGGUCCGCGGCGAGGGGCCGAAUGGUUCGUGACCUCACUACCGGACUCACGUUCUUUGUCGAGUGUCUCAGACACUCGGUAAAGGCCAUUUUACACUCGACAAAGAAUACUCGGCACACACUUUAUCGGCAAACGGUUCUUUGUCGAUUACUUUUUUCGGACACUCGGCAAAGACUUUGUACACCGUAUCCGUAUCGGCAAAGGGUUCUAUACUCAAGAACACCGUAUCGAUCGGUUGUCUCGUUUUGUACACGUGAAACAUACCAUGAAUAGAACGUAUCUGUACUUUUGGCAUAUGGAAAAAUCAAUUUCGUUGAUUUUGUUUCCUGUACUUAAAACGAUUCUUAUCAAAGUUCAAGUCGCCUUUUAAUAUGGAAUGCGCUUCUACAUGCAAAAACCAUUUCCAUCAAGGUUACUUGAUACAAAUAAUGAUGAUUUCUUGGCCAACUGAAUUAAGUCGCACUACAGUAACUGGACAUUUUUUCAACGGCAAGCCAAUGAAAUAAACUUAUCACAAUGUGUUUGGUUUGAGGCAUCUUCUCACUCCACGUUUUUUUAUUUGGUUUGUGGAAUCGAAUUAAUUGAUCCAUCACCAUUCCAUUCCUAAUAUAGGCUAAUAAUUAGUAAUAAUCUGAUAAAUGAGUCCAUUUCAGCAAAUUUAUGGAAUAGACCUAUGAUGCACCACCUCAUCUUUAAUGGAUUAAUUCUUCAAACCAAACAACCUUUUAGUUUGUUUUGUUGGCCUGCGAAACUGACAAAAUAAAGGUUGUUUUCGUUAGUUUGCCAAUUUGGUAAUGAAAUAUAGUGUUUUUCAUCAGCUAUGCAUGACCAAUAAAAAUAACAUUAUUGACGAGAUCUAAAUUUUGAAAAUUAACAUAGUUUCAUCACCACAGUAGGACAACGAAAACAUGUUUUUUCGGUACUAUCGGCCAAUCACUGCGAUGAGAACCGGCGCCGUUGCUCUCUGCGGAAGCGCGGACGGUCCGCGACCAGGGGCAGAACGGUCCGUGACCUCACUACCGGACUCACGUUCUUUGUCGAGUGUCUCAGACACUCGGUAAAGGCCAUUUUACACUCUGCAAAGAAUACUCGGCAAACAUUUUAUCGCCAAAGGGUUAUUUGUCGAUUUCUUUUUUUUGGACACUCGGCAAAGACUUUGUACACCGUAUCCGUAUCGGCAAAGGAUUCUAUACUCAAGAACACUAUAUCGAUCGUGAAAUCUCGUUUUGUACACGUGAAACAUAACAUGAAUAGAACGUAUCCGUACUUUUGGCAUAUGGAAAAAUCAAUUUCGUUCAUUUUGUUUCCUGUACUGAAAACGAUUCUUAUCAAAGUUCAAGUCGCCUUUUUUCUGGCGUGAAACACGAACAUUUGGGCUGGAAUAUGGAAUGCGCUUCUACAUGCAAAAACCAUUUCCAUCAUGGUUACUCGAUACAAUGAUGAUUUCUUGGCCAACUGAAUUAAGUCGCACUACAGUAACUGGACAUUUUUUCGACGGCAAGCCAAUGAAAUAAACUUAUUACAACGUGUUUGGUUUGAGGCAUCUUCUCACUCCUCGUUUUUUUAUUUGGUUUGUGGAAUCGAAUUAAUUGAUCCAUCACUAUCCAUUCCUAAUAUAGGCUAAUAAUUAAUAAUAAUAUGAUUAAUGAGUCCAUUUCAGCAAAUUUAUGGAAUAGACAUAUCAUGCACCAGCUCAUCUAUAAUGGAACAAUUCUUCAAACCAAACAACCUUUUAGUUUGUUUUGUUGGCCUGCGAAACUGACAAAAUAAAGGUUGUUUUCGUUAGUUUGCCAAUUUGCUAAUGAAAUAUAGUGUUUUCCAUCAGCUAUGCAUGGCCAAUAAAAAUAAGAUUAUUGAUGAGAUCUAAAUUUUAAAAAUUAACAUAGUUUCAUCACCACAGUAGGACAACGAAAACAUGUUUUUUCGGUACUAUCGGCCAAUCACUGCGAUGAGAACCGGCGGCGUUGCUCUCUGUGCAAGCGCGGACAGUCCGCGGCCAGGGGCCGAACGGUCCGUGACCUCACUACCGGACUCACGUUCUUUGUCGAGUGUCUCAGACACUCGGUAAAGGCCAUUUUACACUCUGCAAAGAAUACUCGACAAACAUUUUAUCGGCAAAGGGUUAUUUGUCGAUUACUUUUUUUUGGACACUCGGCAAAGACUUUGUACACCGUAUCCGUAUCGGCAAAGGGUUCUAUACUCAAGAACACCGUAUCGAUCGUGAAAUCUCGUUUUGUACACGUGAAACAUAACAUGAAUAGAACGUAUCCGUACUUUUGGCAUAUGGAAAAAUCAAUUUCGUUCAUUUUGUUUCCUGUUCUGAAAACGAUUCUUAUCAAAGUUCAAGUCGCCUUUUUUCUGGCGUGAAACACGAACAUUUGGGCUGGAAUAUGGAAUGCGCUUCUACAUGCAAAAACCAUUUCCAUCAUGGUUACUCGAUACAAUGAUGAUUUCUUGGCCAACUGAAUUAAGUCGCACUACAGUAACAAGACAUUUUUUCGACGGCAAGCCAAUGAAAUAAACUUAUUACAACGUGUUUGGUUUGAGGCAUCUUCUCACUACUCGUUUUUUUAUUUGGUUUGUGGAAUCGAAUUAAUUGAUCCAUCACUAUUCCAUUCCUAAUAUAGGCUAAUAAUUAAUAAUAAUAUGAUAAAUGAGUCUAUUUCAGCAAAUUUAUGGAAUAGACAUAUCAUGCAUCAGCUCAUCUAUAAUGGAACAAUUCUUCAAACCAAACAACCUUUUAGUUUGUUUUGUUGGCCUGCGAAACUGACAAAAUAAAGGUUGUUUUUGUUAGUUUGCCAAUUUGCUAAUGAAAUAUAGUGUUUUCCAUCAGCUAUGCAUGGCCAAUAAAAAUAAGAUUAUUGACGAGAUCUAAAUUUUUAAAAUUAACAUAGUUUCAUCACCACAGUAGGACAACGAAAACAUGUUUUUUCGGUACUAUCGGCCAAUCACUGCGAUGAGAACCGGCGGCGUUGCUCUCUGCGGAAGCGCGAACAGUCCGCGGCCAGGGGCCGAACGGUCCGUGACCUCACUACCGGACUCACGUUCUUUGCCGAGUGUCUCAGACACUCGGUAAAGGCCAUUUUACACUCGGCAAAGAAUACUCGGCAAAUGGUUCAUUAUCGACUACUUUUUCGGACACUCGGCAAAGACUUUGUACACUGUAUUCGUAUCAGCAAAAGGUUCUAUACUCAAGAACACCGUAUCGAUCGGUUGUCUUGUUUUGUACACGUGAAACAUAACAUGAAUAGAACGUAUCCGUACUUUUGGCAUCUAGAAAAAUCAAUUUCGUUAAUAAUAUGUAUUUUGUCAAAGUAUCAACCACAAUCUUGUUUGUGGCGCACUAGUAGCCAUUUUGUGUGAUAAGCAGCAGGUAUAGGGUUCGAUUCUUGGGUUUGAUUCUUCAUUUCUUUGUAGUUACUUUUUCAACCUUUUUAGUUUUAACUAUCUCUAUUUUAUUAGUCUGCGUGGGUCUAGGGAUUUCUCCAAAGUUUUUAUUUUAAAAAAUGUUUAUGUUUUUUAGUUUACGUGGGUUGGUGUUUUCUCUUAUUUUUUAUUUUAAAGUUGUUUCUAUGGGUUCGAUUCUUCACUUCUUUGUAGUUACUUUUUCAACCUUUUCAGUUUUAACUAUCUCUAUUUUUUAGUCUACGUGGAUCCAUGGUUUUCUCCAAAGUUUUUAUUUUAAAAAAUGUUUAUGUUUUUUAGUUUACGUGGGUUGGUGUUUUCUCUAAAUUUUUUAUUUUUUAAAGUUGUUUCUAUUUUCUAUGCGUGUUUUCUCCAAAUUUUUUAUUUUCAAAAUUGUUUUUGUCAUUUUUGCAUUGUUUGGUUGGUGUUUUCUCCAAAUUUUUACUUUUAAAAUUGUUACUAUUUUUAUAGUUUGAUUAUCAUUUUAGCUAUUCUUAUAUAACAAAUUACUCAUGAAUAUAUUAGAUCUAAGUCUAUAGUAAUAUAUUUAUAUAACAAUACAUGUGGGAAAUUCAAGCUUAAUCAAUUUUUAUUUAAACAUGAUUUCAUAUUCAAACUUAUUUCAUUGCCAUUUUGAUUUAUUUCAUUAUUUGUAGUGGCGUCUACAAUUUUGCUUUUUUAGGAAAUUCACAUGAGAAUUAUGACGACCAACAUUGUCAUGAAAUAGUGACACUUCCUGAUUGUCAUAAGAUUGAAAGAGUGUUCGUCACAAAUAUGACAACUUUCAUAUUUAUGACGAUUUUGCAUUGGUCUUAAUGACAAAGUUUUACUUUUCAUCACUAAAGUCAAUCAUCCCUACAAAACGUCAUAAGUAGGAGAAGCUUAUGACGUUUUGAUCUAUUAUCACAAGGUAUUCGUCAUAGAAGGCUAUAUGUUGCAGUGUGCGCAAUGAAAUGUCGCCAAAAAGUUGAACAACCAAAAGUUUUAUGAUGUACAUUGGAUUACUUGGAUUAGUUAGAUCAUCCUUUUCACCAUCAUAUGUUUUCUUUCUUCCACAACCAAACUGAGAUAAAGUGCAUUGAUGUUAAAUCUGAAAACAAAGUAGCCCGAGAUUGAUCAUCUAGGUUGCACACAUUCAACAUAAACAACAAAGAGAGAUCUGUAUUGAUAAGGUAUACAUGAGGUCGACAAAGUCAAUUCAUCGCAAUGAACACCUCUCUGAUGGAUCCAUAAAGUAAUAACAUAAUGGGGGUACCAUAAGACAACAAAGGCCACCUAGAAUGUCGAAAGAUCUUGAAGAAAGAUUUGCUUGGCACCAAGGGUGCUAGAAGAGGUUUAGUCAUAAAAAGGGUAAAAUUGUUAAUAGAUUAUAUUUUCCAAUUAGAUAGAUAGAUCACUGAGUUUCCCAUGACCCCCUUUGUUUGAAACGUAUUCUACAAACCAUUUUCACAUUUCCCACAAGAUCAAAGGAGAUUCCAAUAAUUGACCUCGAGUCGGCAUGAAGACGUGCAACCGAGGUAUGUUUUCUAGAGGUUACAAUGAUCAACAAGGGGUUGAUCUCAUAAUCAUUGUUAGAAAACUAACCGAUAACCUUCACUGUUUGAACCCCAAUUAAUUCAUUAUUAACAUGUUGCCCUUUGUAGGAGUUGCAUCUCCUAAAAUCACAAUUUCUGGUACAUCAACUAUCAAAGAGGUGAUAUUGGCGUCGCCUAGAAAAUUUGAUAGUCCCAAUACGAGCAAUAAAAACAUACUAUUUAUGAGGACUACAUAAUGUUAGGGUAGCAAAUGUAGCCACAAUGCGACACACAACAACAAGAAGGAAAACACAUCCAAACGAUUAACACGGGUCAUAAAGAAUUGGGAUGAUAAGGUGAAAACAAGGCAAGAUGUGGAAUCUUCAAGCAUAUCGUCACAAUGGAAAGUUUGCAAUACCAUGUUAUAAAUUAAAUUUUGUUUUAAAAUACAAACCAUUACUUAUUUGCCAUCCUAGCAUGGAUGUAAUAAAUUGUGCCACACAUCUUGCCCCAUACAAUACAUAUUAUUUUUCUAACAAAACGUGACAUUCUCAAUGUUGGGUGAGAACAAUGAUGAAUAUGUGACCCAACUAGAGUUGGAUGUUGAAGGAUGUGGAUGGUUUUGGGACGCAACAACAGGAGGAGAUCCCUCCAACAACCUUGCAUAUCCCAAUAGCAUUCUCCCCCAAGACGGCACAUGUUGCUCCACACAACUGCUCAUUGCAAUUGUUAGAUGUGGAGCAUUGUUCCCCUCCUAAGAGGGCACGACCACCUUGGCUUGCUGGCAUGGUCGAAGCAAGAAGAGCUAAUAAUAUUGGAACAACGAGAACAACAAGAGUCUUCUUAGAGAACGCCAUGAAGCUCUAGGGAUGGCUUUUUUCAAGUAGAGGAUACUUAGUUCCUUGAUGACGCUUGUAUGCUUUCUGUUUUUUUGCACGUAUAGAAUUGAGUCUCCCUAUUGUUGUGGGGCUAUGAUUAUAUAGACUUGAGCAAUAACAAAUUAACCAUGAGCAAUCAAUUUCUGCUAUUUUACUUAGAGAUAUCAUAUCUUUUGUUUUUACUUGUAGUAGCAAUAUCAUCUAAUAUAUAUUACCCACUCAAUUUUUAUGUUAAUGACAAUGCUAUUUAGAUCAAAUCUAUACAAUUAAAGGUUUUUAUUGGCAUUUACAAAAAAAUUACCUAAAAAUGCCAUACCUAUUUUGAUCUUUGUCUAUCAUGUUUUAAUGAUAUAGAUUCAUUACAUAUUAAUCUGGCACUCAAAUGCACUUAUUAUCUACCAAAGCACCAUAUCAAUUUUGAUUAUCGAGAAUACUGUAUUGACCAAAAUUAGCAACACAUUAUUAUGAUUUAAUUGUCUAUUUGGAUCCAGCCAAUUAGCAAUUAUUAGGUUCUAGAAUUUGAGUGUGGUGGAGCCUUAUACAUCUGGCUAUUAGGUUAGUGUUGGUCUCUUGUUCUCAAAUACUGUGAAUCAAGAACAAGGCAACAUAAUUGUUAAAGAUUAGAGACCUUCGUCCUCCAAGGCAUCAUCUCCUUUCAGAUAUAAUGAUCUUCAGACGAAGGUCAUGAAGGACGCACCUUCAGCUUGUUCGAAGGUGUUGACGCGAGAGCGAUUACAAUCCAGCGUGAAGAGUAUGGGACGCAGCCCGGGUACAAUUACAUUUAUAACCCCAAUAUGUACACAUAAUCACAACAUAAACCAUCACGGAUUAACUAGCCUUUUUCUCUUUGGCUCGGCAUCAUGCUUUCACCUUUGUCGCCACCCGUAACACCAUGAAUUUGGGGGUAUAAAAUUUCUUUUCUAAUAUCCACCAAAUUCAGGUGUUACUCUCUCCUUUAGCGCUUUUCUUCUCUUUUUUAUAAAUAAUGGAGAGUUAUUUUAUACAAGUUUUUAGUGUAGUAAAAUGAAACCCUAAAAGAGUUUUGAUUAUUGCAUCAUGCUGGAGCAACCAUUUUUUUGAUGAUGAUUGUGCUUUAUUGUGCAUUCGUCUAGAUUCAUAAGGCAUCGUAUAUUUUAAAUUCAAAACAUAAAGCAAUUUUAAAUAGAAAGGGAAGAAGAGAAAUAGACAAAGAAAAGAAGAGGAACAUAAAAGAAAAAGCCCAGAAUUCUUUCCCCUUCAUUUUCCCCAAUCGUGGCCCGUUCCCCCUUCCUGGGUCACUCGGCCACCCCGGCCCACGUGCCUUCGCCUCCCCCCUGCAUCUUGCUCGCACUCCUAGGCCACUGCGCGCGUCCACGGCCCAGUUCCCCCGCAUCCCUGGCUUGCUCUCGCAGCUCGCGUGGCCGGCCCACCCCGCGCGGCCCACGUGCCUUCAUCCCUUCAGCCUGCCCCGCACCGGCCCAAGCCCCUCUCCCGCUUCCAUUCGGCCCAGCUGACUUGGGCCGCGGUGCCACGCGCCAGCGCACUCUAGACGCUCACGCUCCUGUGCCCCAGCGGCCCGCGCGCGCGUGGGCAACGCCCAGCCGAGCGUCGCUGGCCUAGUGCCGCUGCAAUUUGGCCCCACCUGUCAUCUCUUUCAACUACCUCCUCCUUUUUCUCAGCUGUGCACGUGCCUAUGUCUGCUAGAUCCGUCAACGUCGCGGUGAUUUCGCAACAGUAGUUCACGCCCAUCUCAUUGGCCCCGUUCUUCCCUCUCUUGCGCAGCCACGACAUCUCGCCGGCCCUCCCUGUUGCGCGCGGCUCGCCCAUGCAGCCCGAGCUCCCGUCUGUGCGCGGCCUGCGCAGCUGUUGCGCAUGACUCGGCCGUGCAGCUUGCAGGUGCAGCCGUUGCGCGCGGCCCUGCGUGCCCGGCGCGGCCUGCUUCGUGCGACUCAUGCGGCCAGCGUGGCGCGCAGCCGGCGCGGCUCGCUUGGUGCACCUGGCGCGCACGUCAGCGCGACCCGCUGCUCGCAGCCAGGCUGUGCUCCGGCGCGGCCCGUGCGUGUGCCCCCAGCGCGGCCUCGCGGUCGCGUCCGGCGCGACCCUUCCGUGUGCCCCCGUCGUGGCCUCACGCUCGCGUCCGGUGCGGCCCGUGUGUGUGCCCUCGGCACGGCCUGCAUGUGGUUGGCGUGCCCGCGACUCGCUUGCGCAUGCCCGGCGCAACCUCGUGCGCAUCCUGCGUGACCCCAGUGUGUUGUCAUUGCCAUCGUCGUUCAUGCCCGCAGCAGCACCGGCGUAAUCUGCGCGGCGUAGCGGCAGCCUCGCCAUCGCUUCGCGUCGUGCGCGCAGCACGUCCUCGUGCUUCGCCACAAGCUCGUCCGGACGUCCGCCGUCGUCGCGGGGUGAGCAUCGUCUACGCGUUAGUAACAUCGUUUUGCCAUGUCUCAUGUUUUAAAUAAUUAAUUAUGUUUUUGUUUAACUAACGUCGAUUAAUUAGACUUUUCAAUUAAACUAAUUUAUAGUUUUUAAGUUGCGCUUUAUAAAUGCACGUCGACGUGAUUAAUAUUAACUCAAACGUUCUGCCCUAAUGUUCAUUUAAUAUAAACACGACGUUUAUUUAGUUUAUCUCGCAUGUCGCGCACGCGGUUUUGCACGUGGUUACGUGCUGAUCCGUGUGUCGUUCGCGCACGUCGUCGCGUUGGUUCGCGCGUGUCGCGCGAUGUCGUGCGCUUCGUUUCGCACAGUGUCACGUGUUGUCACACAUCAUUCGUGUGGGUCACGCGUUGUUCACGCACGCUGUUCGCACGUGUGGCGCUCGCCGUCAGCGUGUUUGUUCGCGUGUCCGUUCCAUGUGUUACUCGCGUGUUGUUGCGUGCGUGGUCACGCGUCGUUCGUGCGUGUCGCACAUGCUGUUUCACAUGUGUCGCGCGACGUCUGCACGUGGUAAUAAAUUGUUUUUCGCUUAUAAAGACUCAUGUUAAUAACGUUAAUUCGUCAGGCCAUAUAUUUUAGAUACUUAACUUAAGGUUCGCUCCACUAAUAUUUAUUAGAUUAAUAUUCUAAUUAGAUUAAAUGUGUAGUGUUUAACUUGGGCUUUUAUAAUAAAUAUUAACAUGACUAAUAUUAAUUUAACUACUUUCUAUUUAGUUAACACUUGUUUAGUAUAAACAUGUCACCGAUUUAGUUUUUCUCGCAUGUCGCGCGUGUUGUUCAGCACGCGGUGGCGUGCUACUUCGCGCGUCAUUUGCGCUGGUCGCACGUGCUGUUUCGUGUGUCGUUAGCAUGUUAUGUCGUGCAUGUCCGCGCGUCGUUCUAUACGCUGUCGUGUUGUUUCGUGUAUCGUAAAUUCGCCUCGCGUAGAAUCUCUCGUGUUAAUUAAAUUACUUAUUUAACUGAUAGCUGUUAGUGUAACAGAUUAAUCGAAACUAAAUGGUAGAGAUUAUUUAUAAUUGAUAAUGUCGAAUUAAAUGUUAUAGUUAAUAUUUGUUUAACGUAAACGCGAUAACUUCUCGACUGUAGCUUGACCGUCGUGUUUCUUAUCCUCGCAUAACCGUAGAAGCACUCUCUAUUUUAUAUUGCUUGUUUUUAUGAUGUUUUAUCUUGUAUGGUGUAAUGUUCUUAUGCAUAUGUAUAUGUUUGUUUGCUUGUGCCUGUUCGUCUUCGCUUCGCGUUGCGAUUAGAUCGCGAUUCGUUUCCAAGCUUCGAGGAAUCGACAAUCAAGCUUUGACGACCAAGUGACCAACUCUUCGAAUUCUACAAAGUUGAAGACCCUGAGCAUUCGUUUGGUGAAGGCAAGUGUCCUCUGACUAUUAUGUCCCAUUUACUUUAUAAUUCAUCAACCCGCAUACCAUGAUCCACCUAAGGAUUGACUAGUAUUCUGUUUCCUGUCCUUGUUUACCCUUUGGGAAUUGAUUAUUAUGAUUAGUUCUAUGCUAGCGCUUUACUUUAAUCAAUGAACAUGAUGAGAUACAAUGAUGAUACUAUGAUUUUAUUCUGGAUAUGAUGAUAUACUUGUGGAAUUUAAGGGGACUCGAGUGGUUUCUCGAGUGCCUCUCCGUAAGGACUGGUUCGUUGGAUGAUCGCCCGGGAAAACAGUGCAACCAUGAGGGUGGUAUGGGAUGCCCUUUGCUAAUUAAUUAGAGGAACUGAGGUGUAGUUUGCUUCGCCGUCGUGCCGUCAAUGGGGCUCGGUGUAUGCGGCUCGCUCUGCCGAGGGUGGAUUGCCCCUUGGGGAGGAGUGCGGUACAUUUAGGAAACCUAAUGGGCGGCUACAGCCUCAGAGAAUUUUUGUAAGGGCUUCAUAGUGAAUCCCUGGCCAUUCACCUUGGGAGUGAACAAGGGUCUUGCAAGCCAGGGCUAGAAAGGGAAUCACGGCUUGUAGGUAAAGUGGGCAACCUCUGCAGAGUGUUAUAAAACUGAUAUAUCAGCCGUGCUCGCGGUUAUGAGCGGCCAAGGGAGCUCCAUUGAUUAGAGAGACAUUGAUCAGAGAUGUUUUAUUUACAGGUGAUAAUGAGGAUGAUGAUUUUGAUUAUGAUUAUAGUAAUGGUUUCUAGUAUUCUUUCUGUUUUGAAAGAGUACUUUUGGGUUAACAACUUGGGUUAAUGUUAAAACCUGGCUCUCUACUAGUAAUAAUUCCCUGAUCAACUAAAAGCAACUACUUGACCUUAACCCCACAUAAAGCUAGUCCACUACAGCCAAACGAGACAUUUGCUGAGUAUAUUGAUAUGUACUCACCCUUGCUUUCACAAAACACCAGGUUGCUUUUGGUGCCAUCUAUGCUUAGGUAAAUAAGAAGGCAUCGAGGUGGAUCUCCAGAGUUCCAGGACGUCGUUGAGUUCGAGGAUUAGGCUAGCGACCUCCCUCAGUCAGCUGCCUGUGGUGGGUUUGUUUACAUUGGCUACGUUUCAAUUCUGUGUACUUUGAUUUAUAUUAUGUAAAUGGCUCUAGUCUGUAAUAUUAUUACUUACUCUUUAUUGUUAUUCGAAGCAUUGUGCUAUGAUGAGUCAUUUAUGUAAUCGCUGUUACGUGAAUUUCUGAUCCUGGCACGUACAUGGUUCGCAUUCAGUUUGCCUUCUAAAACCGGGUGUGACACCACCUUAAGCCGAAGCUAUCAUCCUUCGGUGGUAGCUUCAGCAUUCGUUGUUAUAGCUCUCAUAUAAUAUCUUAUCUUCAUCUCGAGGACCUUCGGCAGGGAGGAUCCUCAACAUCACUUUGAUAGUGAUACCUUUGUCUUGUGGACCUUCGGCGGAGAAGAAGACCCCCAAUAGUAGCCCCUUCGCAGUGCUAGAUCGUUUUUUGAUAACGAGCUCGAUCCGCGAAAAGUACGAAGGCUUCAGGAUGCCGAAGGUCUGAAAACACUUUCCUCGAGCUUGUUAUUAAAAAACGAAUAUAAAAUUCACAGCGCUUACCAGUCCACCGAUCAGCCAGUACACGCGUCUCGGCGAUUCACCAUCUUCUCCUGUGGGGCUAUAUAAACAUACAAGUUGGUGAGAAGUUACCACAACAUUCAUUGCUAUUGCACCGUUGUGCUACUGAAUUUUUUUACUGAAGCCGAAGCUUGCUGCUUUACACUUUGGACAAACAUUCCAUCGCUUAAGUGUAACUUUGUCUGUUAAAGACUGAAAACUGAAAAGACUAGAGUAAGAUCUACAUGUAAGCAACAAAGUGAAUUUAGGGUGUUAUUGUCUUUUCCCUUCAUAGUCUUGAUAAACAAGUCUUUAGGAUUUCUCCCUCCCCUCGUCAGUUUCUUUAUCGUGUGUGCACGCCAUUAAGCCGAAGCUCACAGCUUCGUUUCCACAGCGGAGGCAACUACAUGUCAUCUUGUACGAAGGUAGUGUUCGACAUUUUUACCCUGUUAAACCUGAAAUGGACUCAUAAGUAAAUUAUACCCCAAUGUUUUUCAGGACCUUCAGCUAAGGAAGACCCCCAACAAGCAUCUUCAUCCCUCGCUUUAAACCCUUAGCCUAGAACCCCCUUGGACUCAUACAACGGGGGAUGGAGGAAUAUAGAGGAAUUUUCACAUUUUUUUACUAAAGAUAUGUAACACUAUAUUAAGAUUUAUAUAUUCAAUAAAGGACCUAUAUGUAUAUUUGGAUAUUUGUAUGUUUUGUAUAUGCUCAUAUCCAUUGGGCAUGACUUGUAUGUGCAUAUGUUUAUUAAUGUACUCUGUGUCAAUACCAUAGCUUUGCAUAGAAAGCUAAAAAGAACUUGGUCCGAAGGGAAAUAGCUGACCUCGCGAUAUUAUAUUAAAAGAAAGUUUAAUCGAAGCCUAACCAAGAAAGAUCAUGAAAGUUGACUCUCUGUAUAGCAUGACUACAUGAGGUUCCACCUCGUAUAAACCAAAUUUUUACUCGUGCUACAUACUUUAUAGAAGUUCAUCAAACUUAAGGUAAUUUCCUGUGGGAUAUAUAAUAUACAAAUCUAUGAUAUUUGAGAGAAAGUCGUACAUGGAAAACUUCGCUCACAUGAAAAAAAAACAUUGAAACGACAGUAUAAGACUACUUGACAAAUACAAGGCCACACAUUUAUUCCAUUAUUAUUUCCUCAUAAAUACAAGGCCACACAUUUAUUCUGCAACACACGCAGACGUGAGAGAGAGAUCAAAUAGACUUGAAGGACAUGAGCUGGCGUUUUUUGGUGGAGUUUGGCAACGGAUCAAACACAACUGCUUGGUAAGACUGCUUGGUAAGACGACGUUGGAUCUUUGGUUGCGAGGUUGAGCUUGUAGUUGGUGCCGGCGACCACCUGUUCCAUGCCACUGACCACCUCGGCGAACUCCAAGCUCUCGCCAGUCUGCCUGUUGUGCUCCUUGACAGCCCAUUCGCCGACACCCUGGACAUAUGGGUCCUUGACGUUCUCUAUUUUGACAUACUGUCCGCUCAGCGUGGUGACACCUGCAGCUCUAGCAGACCUCCAGAUGGCUACGGAUGAUCCAGUGCAGCAGCGGUGGCGGCCAACAACACCAUGGCUCGGCGACGCCCACGAGCUCCGUCGGCCACAUAUGCUUGCUCUUCCUGCAGGUGCUCGUUAGAUUUGGCGGUCGCGGCCCUGACCACGACCAGGCUGCGGUGGCAGCGAGGAGCGG